AUAUGCAUAUUCUAUAUAUAUAUAUAUAUAUAAAAUUUUUUGAAAUCCCUUAUUUUGUAUGGUGCUGCUUCUCCAAACUGAAUUUCCAAACUGGUGCCUGUUCUACUAAUAUUUCUGCUUUUUCCACAUGUAAAUUUCCUCCUUCUGUCAUCAAUGAAAGAUUUCUUUUUCUAAUUACUACUUUUCUUGGUUUUAAGAAUGUGUGUAUCUGCAAUUCAUGUUUGAAUUCAUUUGCCUGUUUAAAUCCCCUGAAUCAUGGUUUUACUCCCUCUUCAAUUCUUGGCUUAGGGGUAUAGUUUCUUCUCUGACCAUGCACAUUUGAAAGAAAAAUGACUUUAUGCAUGUAUAUACACAUUACAUGUAUGUGUAUAAAUAUGUAUAUGUGUUCUUAAAUCUUCACAGAUAAAAUUGCUUCCUUUUCUACCCAUUAUACCUUGUCCUGUAUUUAUGUUCCUUCAAUAUCUCCAUUUCUACCCAUUUUGUCUUUAUUUAGUCAUUAAAAUUUUGACUAAAAUGAACAGCUUCUUCGUUAUUUUCUUAUUAUUAUUGAUAUUGGGUUGUCAUCUUUGGUAAUUCAGUACCUAUUACAAGAGACCUAAUUCCUACCAAUUUAUUACCAUAUUCAUCUGAAUAUUCAAGAUUGUGUCUUCUACAGUGAACUCUUCAAUUGAAUAAAGCAAUUCAUCAUCAUUUUAAAAUUUUUCAAUGUAAUUGAAAACUGCUGUUGUACUUACUUGCUCCAUGCUGUUUUCCAGGGUAAUGAUUUAUUUUGAUCAUUUUACUUUACAAAUGGGAACCAUAGUUUCCUUAUCUACUACUUGUGAAAUUUUUGAGGUUUUGUUUUUAUUUUGUUUUUCUUAAAACGUCCUUUAGCUCUUUUUUGGGCUUAUAUAUCCAUUUGUUUCUUUUUUAAUUGAAGAUUUCAAAGGUAACUUUUAAAGAUAGACCUUUGCUUUAAAGAACAGGCACUUGACAGAUCUUUUGCUUGAAUACCAUCUGGUGAGUAGACCAGAUUCCUUGCAACAAUGACCAAAACUUGACUUGAAGUUGAAUAAAAAAAAAAAAAAUCAAUCUGUUCAGCAGUUACUGAGUAUUUGCUAGUACUAGGGAAUGGAAAUACAUAAAUCUCCCUCUGUUGAUUGCAACUCUUUUUCUAGUUGGCAAAGACAAGAUGCAUCAGCAAAAGUUAUGCUGAAAACCGUGGCUGUGGAACAGCAUUGAAGCUGAGUUUGACUUUACACUUGACUUGAGUUCUACUCUAAUCCAUGACUGUGUUAUUUUAAUUUGGCAGAAAAGUCUGUGUCCUAAGUGCCCUGGUGGACCUAUUAGUGAAAUGUAGUAGCACAGGGCGGUUAUAUAUAGCACAAAGCUAUACCUCCUGAGAAUCAGAAUUGAAGCCAGUUGCUAUCUGCCUAGGCUUUCUGUAAACAGGUUGGCUAUCAUUCAGCCAGCUUGUAGAAUGAAUCUGUUCCUUUAACCUGUGUAAUCACCAGAAAUGUCAAGGAACUUAGAAGAAAAGAUCAACUUAGGGAUCAGAACCUAGGGAACAGGUUGUGUACCAGGGAUGUACCAGGGAUGAUGGGAUGAUGAGACUGAAGCAACUGGAGAAUUUUUCUUUUCCACUUGUCUCCAUUUUUUUGAGCCAUUUUUUAUUCCUCAACACCUUGAGGAGGUACACAUGGUUGCCUGUAAUCCCAGUGACUGGGAAGGAUGAGUCAAGAGGAUCACAAAUUCAAGGUCAGCCUGGGCAACUUAGCAAGAUUAUAUCAAAAUAAAAAGUAAAAAGGACUGAGGAUGGAGCUCAGUGGUAGAGUCCCCCUGUUGCAAUCUUCAGUACUGGAAAAAAAAAAAAUCACCUAACAAAAAAACCUUGAGAAAGAACGUGGUUUCUGAGUGUGAUCUCAUGAGGAUAUAUAUCUAGCUCCUCUAAAGGUGACAUCAGAUGGUGUGGAUACCUCAAAAGUGAAGCUUAGCCACAACCCUCCUUUGUACUACUUGGAACUCAGAUCUGGUCUCUGACCCAGGCUUUACCAAAGCAUUACAAUUUGAAAUCUUAAAUAAACUCCGCCAUCUUGGUCUAUUGCUAUUUUUUUUUUUUCUGCCAAGGAAAAGGAAAACUGGUAACGAAUGGAUAAAUGUAGCAAAUCACACAUUGUCCUGUUUUUUUUUUCCCUCAAUAAAGUGAGUGAAUAGAACAACAGUUUAUUAAAAAUUAGAUUUGUAUUAAACUUAUAACAUCUGGGUGGGGCUGUAGUUCAGGACAGUGCUUGCCUAUUAUGCUGGAAGCCCCAUGUUCAGUCCUGAGUACUGCAAAACUAGGUAAGUAAAUAAAUAAAUGAAAAAUUAAAAUAUUACCAUCUCAUAUGAGAUAUUUUUGUUUGUUUGUUUUGGGUGCUGGGGAUUGAACUCAAGACCUUGUGGAGGUAUUAGUUUUGAGAAUGUUAAAGGGCUGUCCUGUUAGAGGAAAAUACUUUAAAUUUUAGGAACUUUUGAAUUUCUUAUUGAACUGUCCUACACAGGGAACUGUGGUUGAAGAUUGGACAGAUGAAAACUGUGACACAUAAAUUUUUAAUUUUAGAAAUGACAGCUUAUCAGGAUUCAGUGAAAAGGAUACAUUUUUAUGAAAACAUACUGGAAUUUAAACCUUUUGCUAAAAGGCCAGUGGAUGUUAGGUGAGCUUGGCUGAAGACAGUAUAUUCUUCCUUUCCAGGCAAGGUCCUGCCAGCUCUUGGUAAGCCUGCAUGGGGUCUUACUAGGUCAGAUUCAUUUUCUAAGUUCCUCUGAAACAACAGUAUCAUUGUAUCAUGUGGUUACAAAAGCUUCCUUUCAAAACUCUCUCUCUCUUUGUCUUGGAUCUAAAAAGCAGGUUCCAAGUGUGAUAUCUUAUUAGAUUACCAGUUUCAUCUUGCCUCACUCUAGGUUGCAAAGGGUUGAUUGAACAUUACAUCUGUGUAUACCUGCUGCAAUAGUGCAAUGAUUACCGGCCUGUUCAAGGCCUGAGAAGGCUGAUCUUGGCAGGCCUGGCCAGGGCCUACCCACAGCCAACUGAAGCAAGGAGCCUAUCUACCCUUAAGCACCUCCAUAUGACAAUACUCAACUGACUCUUGCAUAGAAUAAGAUAAAUGCCAGAAAAGACUACAAACAGUGCUACAAGCAGGAGAUGACCUGAUUUGGAGAUCAAGUCAACUAUGGAAGAGACACCUUGAAAGAGGAGAUAGAAUUUUAACAUGCCGAGACUCAAAAAUGGCAAGGGCCUUUCUGAGUGGAGGCAAAUGCUUGAGAAAAGAUGCUGGGAUGGAAAAACACUGUCCAGGGAGCACUGAGAUACUUACUCAUUUGGAGUUUGAUUGUGGGUUUUACAGAAACGGGGUGAUACUCUUAUGCUUGGGCUGUAUGUGAGAAGUUUGCCCAGGUGAAAACUGAACUUUGGUUAAGAUGGAGGAGGGUGACUACAUCAACUGGAUUUAGAUUUGUUUCCCCUGUGACUCUGCUCAUGUUCCUGGAUCUAGUGAGAUGCUUCACAAUAUCCUUUUAGUCUAGAUUCUCAUGCUGUGAUUCAUUCUUUCAUCUUGUUGUGACUCAUACACCUGUUAUGAACCAGGGAUGUUGUUGGAAGUAACAUUAGAUCCAAAUUUGUAAGAACUUGCCUGAGAGUCAUAGGAAGUCUGCUUUGUCUCAGCCCAUUUGUGCUGCUAUAAGAAAAUGCCACAGACUGGGUAAUUUGUAAAGAAGAGAUAUUUAUUUCUCAAAAUUCUGGAGGUUUAGUCUAUUUCUAAGACCAAAGUGCUGGCACCUGUUGAGGGCAGCUCUUGGCUUCUUUGAAUGCUGGAUCCUCUGGAGAGAGGGGAACAACGUGUCCUCACAUGGCAGAAAGCCAUUUUGUAAGGGCACUAAUCCCAUUCACGUGGGAGAAGCCCUCAUGGCCUGAUCACCUCCUAACGGCCCCACUUCUUAAUCCUUUCACAUUGGCAACCACUGAAUUUUAAAGGGUACAUGUUUAAGCCAUAGCAGCCACAUCAAAUAACUUUGAAAAAGUGCCUUCUAAUUUUAUGUCCUUUAGUGGUCUUCUAGGGGAUGUUUGAGUUUGUAGCUGCAACACUGCAAAAUCAUGAACCACAUGGUGAUGUAUUAUUACACAUCCUCAAUUUAAGUAUUUUGAGGGGGCUGUGAAAUGGCAUUUCAGACACUAUCUUAGGUUUAAAAUCCCUGCAGAUGGAGGAGGAAAGAUAGGUUUGUUAUAUCAGCUGCUCCAAUUGCCACAUGCACAGCCCACAUCCACGGGUCCCACACAUAAAUGGAGGGGGUAGGUGGGUUCUGUAGUGUUAGAGAUGAAUGCAUAGAACAUCUGUGUAUGCCACUCAGGAUCAUGCAACCCCCUCCUUCUUUGUUUUUUUAGAGUCUUCUGGGUGACUCUUUCAAGUACCUCGUGUUCAUAUCAUGCUGGGGCUUUCCGACAUCUGAAAGUUCCAGGUUUGCAUGCUACUUUCUGCAGCUGUCAAGAUGAGCUUUGCCCCAUCGCCACCCAGGGUUGCCAGGUUGCUAAGACAUUUUAUUUGCUUUUGUGCUGUGGUUCAGCAAACAGGCCCUUGCUUUCAUGCCACCCCAUGACCUUGGUUCAGGUAGAGAACAGGAUAAGGAAUGGAAUGUUAAGUAUGUCUUUGGAUAGAUUAACCAGUCAUGCUGGUCACUAUGCUGCUGAUUACAGGGAACAUUUUGUGCUUUGGAUACCAGAUGGUUUGGAAGCAAUUGACAUUCUGUGAGAAGGGUUGAGAAGUCUGACCAAACUUAACCACAUUUUACUGUCACCUAUUAGGGCAAAUGCUGGGUGCCAGAGGUUUGUGCUAAGUGUUUUACUUGAAGUUUAUAUGUAGUAUGGAGGUGGUAAGAAGAAGUUACUGACAGAAUCUGUGUGAGCUUUUCACAGGAAAGUUUAUACAAUAGAAGGAGAUGCCUCAUUUGGGUCUGAAAACCCAGAGGGGUUUUGCUAGGCAGAUAAGGGGAAUUGGGUAAAACAGGCAAAGACACAUGGGAAAGGUCUUAUUGAGUGGUCAAAGCUGAAUGUCCUUUAGUGGUCUUCUAGGGGAUGUUUGAGUUUGUAAUUGCAACAUUGCAGAAAUCAUGAACCACAUGGUGAUGUGUAUAUACAGUGGUGUGUAUAUACAGUGGAAUAUUAGUCACCCUUCAAAAGAAUGUAUAUUAAUGUAUAUUAAUGAGGGAUGAGAGCGACAAUAGUCUGUGUGACAUUAGAUAGAGAGAAAAUUGGAACUUGCAGUGGGAGAUGAGGGAUCACUGUAAGGUUCGAAUCAAGAAAGUGAGUGGAUCUAAGCAAAAACUUCAACUUCAGAAAGUUCAUUCUAAUAGAAGACAGAUUUGGAAAGGGUGAGGUCAGAGGCAGGGAGAACAGAAAGGCCAGGGGACAAGUUAGGGUAAGAGAUGGUUAUCAGAGAACUCCAGCAUUUAAAAAGGAGGUACAGGUUGGGGUUGGGGCUCAGCGGUAGAGCGCUUGCCUCCCACAUGUGAGUCACUGGGUUCGAUCCUUAGACCACAUAAAAAUAAAAGUAAAUGAACAAAAUAAAGAUAUUGAGUCCAUGUAUAACUAAAAAAUAUUUUUAAAAAAUAAAAAGGAGAUACAGAAAGAGGGUGCUGAGGACUGGGUUAGAGAAGGCCUCGGUAGAAUAUGGUGUGUGAGUUCAACCCAGGGAGAAGUAUUUUAAGAAAGGAAUACUUAUCAGCAACCAGAUAAAGAGGACUAAUUUUUUAUGUUUGUUUAUUUAUUUUAAAAUAAAAUUUGUAUAUAUUUAAAUGAUGUAACAUGAUGUUAUAAGAUGCAUAUAUAGUAAAAUGGUUGUUAUAGUGGAACAUAUUAACAUGUCAAUCUCAUAUAGUAACCAUUCCAUGAACCCCUGUCCCUCACUCCCUCUAGCAAGAGCAGCUAUAGUCUAUUAGCAAAAAUUCUGAAUACAUUACACUAUUAUUAACUAUAGUCCUCAUGUUAUACACCAGAUUUUUUACUUGUUCUUCCUACAUAUUUCUACUUUAUAUCCUUUGAUCUACAUCUUCCCUCUUCUACCCCAGCCUCUGGUAACCUUUUAUUCUCUAUCUCUACAUAUUUGACAUUUUUUUUUAGAUUUUACAUAUAAGUGAUAUCAUGCAAUACAACACACUUUUCUUUGUGUUUGGUUUAUUUCACUUAGCAUGAUGUCAUCUAGUUCAUCCAUGUUGUGGCAAAUAGCAGCAACUUCUCCCUUUUGAAGGGUGACUAAUAUUCCACUGUAUAUACACACCACAGUUUAUUUGUGCAAUAAACACUUAGUUUGUUUCCAUAACUGGAAGCUGUUGUAAACCAUACUGCAGCAAACAUGGGCAUGCAGAUAUCUUUACAAGGCAGUGCUUUCAUUUAUUUUGGUGUAUAUACCAGUAGAAGAAUUGCUGGGUCUGAAAGACUUCUAAGUACCCUGGACAUGGCAGCUAGGAGAUCACCAAGGCCUUGACUAGAGUGGCAUCCUCAGGGCUGGCCUGCUAGGGUAAAAGGAAUCAGAUACCUGCUUUCAUAUAACACUCCAGGGAGUGCUCGAUAAUUCAGUAAUCAAGACAGAUAAUAUUUUAAUGCAACAUUUUAAAAUACCAACAUAAUUGUUAAAAUGUAUAAUGAACCAAUUAUCAAAAUUUUAAACAAAAAGAGUAAGAGCGUUACUGAUGUUUCCUUUUACCUCAGAUUCCAGUCUGGCUUGACAGUAAGGGUCACUGUGUAAGGAAAAUGGUGGGUAAGGCCCAGGUGCAGGCCUGCUGAGUGAAAUUGAAGCUGAAGCAAUUAAAGCGCUGAGUAUAGACUCUGUCCUCAUGAUGUCCCAGCUUCAGGUGAAAGGAAAUAAAAUGAAAGAAUGGUCAGUCUAAGGGACCUCUGACUUAAGGGCUUUGGGGUUUACUUAUUGUGUAAGAUAGAAAAGACUUGAACAUGGGGAGUAGGCCCUGCAGUGUCUGAUGAAAGCACUGGUGUAAGGGCUCAGGGGAAACAGGAGGGGACAAAUGGGAUUGUCCUCCCUGGACAAGCUGAAGGACAGAAGGUGCCAAUUGGGGCAGUGGAAAGGUGAGAGGUCGCAGGACUCGGGCCUUAUAAAUGACAAGGUCAUGUAUAAGGGAAUGCCCCUGACAAAAAGCAGCAAUAGAUGGAGUUAGGAUGGAAGAAAGCCAUGCAGGAGGGAGUUGACCCAAGAGGUAUAGAGCUGAUAAAGGGUCUCGUAAAAGAAAUGGCUGAGCAGCAGAAGGCGCCCAGCUGAGGCUGGAACUCACAGGGUGUGGAGUAUCAGUUUCUGUGUUGAGUAAUCUUUUCUCCCUCCCUUCUGAGCUACUUGUUGGUCUACGUGUAUGAGUGCAGGAACUCAGAACCUGAGGCUGGGGUGCAGGGUGACCAACCAUCCUAGUUAGGCCAAGACAGAAAGCCUUUCUGGGAUCAGGACUUUUAGUGCUAAAACUGGAAGGUUCAGGACACACCAGGCCCAUUCAUUUAUCUAAGGUGUUAUAGGAUUGGAAGUCAGGAGUCAAACAGAACCUCUGCACUGGGAAGAACUCUGAAAGAAAUGAAGAAAGCCCUCAGAAAUGAAGUUGGUGACCUCGCGGCUCUCUGUUGAGCACUGUACUACUGUUCCUUAGGAUGGCACUGUGCCAGACGUCUGCCGAGGUCAUUCUUCAGGUGGAAGAGGCACUUGAUGAAGAAGAAAAGGAGAUGCUGUGCUUUUUGUGUCUGGAUAUUACUGCAGAUGUAGUUCCACCUACAGUCAGGGACCUUCUGGAUAUUUUAUGUGAGAGAGGGAAGCUGUCUGUGGUGCAGUUGGCAGAGCUGCUCUACAGAGUGAGGCGGUUUGACCUGCUCAAGCGAAUUUUGAAGAUGGACAGAACAGCCGUGGAGGCUCACCUGCGCAGCCAUCCUCACCUUGUUUCGGACUAUAGGGUGCUGAUGGUGGAGAUUGGUGAGAAUUUGGAUAAAAAAGAUGUAUCAGCAUUGAUUUUCCUCAUGAGGGAUUACACAGGCCGAGGCAAGGUCUCCAAGGACAAGAGUUUCUUGGAUCUGGUGGUUGAUUUGGAGAAACUGAAUUUGAUUGCUCCAGAUCAAUUGGAUUUAUUAGAAGAAUGUCUAAAGAACAUCCACAGAAUAGACCUGAAGACAAAAAUCCAGAAGUACAAGCAGUCUGCUCAAGGAGCUAUGAAAGGAGCAGGAACAAGUUGUGUGAAUUCUCUCCACACCUCUCUCCCAAACUUGAGUCUCAAAGAUCCUUCAUAUAGCAUAAGGCUCCAGAAUGGGAGAAGUAAAGGACAAAGACAUUGGCCACUCCUUCAAAGAGAACCAGUAAAGACAUCCAUUCAGGAAUCAGGAGCUUUUUUCCUUCAGCACAUCUCUGAAGAGAUAUACAAGAUGCAGAGCAAGCCCCUUGGAAUUUGCUUGAUAAUUGAUUGCAUCGGCAAUGACACAGAAGUUCUUCGACACACCUUCACUUCCCUGGGCUAUGAAGUCCAAAAUUUUUUGCAUCUUCAUGUGAAAGACAUAAGCCAUAUCCUUCACCAAGUUGCCAAUCUGCCCCGACACCGACACCAUGACAGCUUUGUGUGUGUCCUGGUGAGCCGAGGAGGCUCCCAAAGUGUGUUUGGCGUGGAUGAGACUCACUCAGAGUUAUCCUUGCAUCAUAUCAGGAGGAUAUUCAUGGGGGACAAAUGUCCUUCCCUCAUAGGGAAACCAAAGCUCUUUUUUAUUCAGAACUAUGUGGUGUCUGAGGGCCAGAAGGAAGACAGCAGCCUGCUGGAGGUCGAUAGUCCAGCGAUGACCAAUGUGGAAUCCAAGGAACCAAAGCCUGGGCCAAGCACGGUUCACCGAGAAGCUGACUUCUUCUGGAGCUUGUGCACUGCUAGUGUGUCCCUGCUGGAGCAGUCCUCUAGCUCACCCUCCUUGUACCUGCAGAGCCUCUCUCAGAAGCUGCAGCGAGAAAGAAAACGCCCACUUCUGGAUCUCCACCUUGACCUCAACCGCAAAGUGUAUGAUUGGAACAGCAGAGUUUCUGCCAAGGAAAAGUACUGCCUCUUUUUGCAACACACCCUGAGAAAGAAACUCAUCCUGUCUCCCACAUGAAAACCCCAAACCUUUCUUCACCUGGAGGUCUCCAUCUCUAGAGAGAGAGUGGUUUUCAAGCAUGCAUGCAUGUGAAUGUGUCAGGGAAACUUGCAACCCACAGACUCUUCUCUCAGGAGCUGGUUGUGAGGACUGAUUCCCCAACCCUGGUUCCAUUCUGGCUCCCCACUCUUUCCUCCUCCGGUAAGUCAUCUUUCUGUUACUGUACAAAUGCCGAGAUAAUCAGCUUCAAAACACAAAAGGUCUAUUUUGGCUUAUGGUUUCAGACAUUUCAGUCCACAGUCACUUAGCCCUGUUGUUUAAGGCUGUGGUGAGUGGUACAAGGUAGAGGAAGCACAAGGCAGAGGAAGCCGUUCAAGCUGACAGUUUGGAAGCAGAGAAAAGGAGAGGAGGGACCUGGUUCCAAUGUCCUCUUCUAAGGCACUCCCUCCCCAGUGAACUAACUCCUCCCACUAGGCCUCACCUCCCAAAGGUUUCCACCACCUCCAGUAGUGCCACCUGCUGGGACCAAGCCUUCAACACACUGGCCUUUGAGGGUCAUUUAAGUUCCAAACUAUUGCACUUCUCUUCCAUGAAUAGAUUGUGGUAAGUGGUAUUGAACACCUUCUCCUGUCUGCAGCAGGAAUCUGGGAAUCUCUUCACCCAUAUUCUAGGAGUAAAUUUUCAGGAUUAAGCUUGUUUCUUAUGCCACCAGGAAGUCAGAAUUUGAGGUCAAUCUUGUCAAAUUGGCUGCGAUUUAUAAUUGGUAAAGUAGCCUUAAAGAAUAUGGUUGUCCAAACAUCAACUAAGUCUGGCCAAUGAGAGGUAAGCAGAAGUAACUAUGGCAGCUGCAAAAAAAAAAAAAAAACUUUCCUUGAAAGAUAUCUAUGUUUUGCCCUUGCCCCCUAUUUGUCUCUUCUUCCAUCCUGUUGAUUAGAUAGUGGAUUUGAUGGCUGGAUCUCUAACUUCCGUGUUGAACUAUGGAGGGCCAUAUUACAGGAAUAGCUGCAUGGUGAAGAAUAGCUGAACACUGAAUGAGGAUGUUAAGGAGCAAACGCACCAUACCAGCCUAAACCACCUACCUCUGGACUUUUAUGUGAAUGAAAAAAAUCAGAAUUUAUAUUUCUCUCAAACUGAUUAGCCCAACUGAUGUUUUGUUCUUUGAUUAAAAUAUCUGGAAUGUUUGUUCCUAUUAUAAGCUUGAAAGAAAUUUGUAUAGAUGAUUAUUUUUAUUUUCUAAUUAUUAUUUAAAAUGUAUACACUUAAAUCUGAGCUGGCCUAAAUGUUUAAUAUGGAUGAUCUUGUUUUUCUUGUUUCAUCUUUUGUGCUUUUUUUGAGGAGGAUGGAGAUGCUUAAUUAAGAUGGUACAGUUUGAACAGAAUCGUCCUGAGAGGUGUGACUCACAUGGAAAAGUCAUUCUGAGUCACUCAAAUUACAGACACAGCUUUUGUAUUGAGUUCAUGGUGAAUAAGAAUUCACAGUAAGAGUUUGAAAGCUACAUAUAUAAAGCCAAAUGUGAAGGAGAGAGAUUCAUUUUGAAAGGUUAAAGAUAAUCAAGAUCAUGACUCAAAAAGAGCCACGUCUUAAAAAUCUACAAUUCCUUGUUUUCCUUGCUGGGUCCUCUCUUGCAAUGUAAUAACCCCAAAGGUGGAAAUGUAGAACUUUAAUCAAGGCCACUGAAUGGAAUGACUGAUCUUCCCAGGGAGCCACAAGAACCUCCCUAUUCCGAGAAUCACUUUCUACCCCCAACCUCUUUUUUUAUUAACAGAGGAUUGAACUCAGGGGUGCUCUACCACAAGCUACAUCCAAAGCUCUUUUUACUUUUUAUUUUGAGUCAGAGUUUUGGUAAGAUGCCCAGACUUGCAAUCCUCCUAUCUUAACUGCCUGAAUCACUGGAAUUACAGGUGUGCACCACUAUGCCCAGCUUGUUUUCUUCCUUUUCUUGUGUUACCCCAAAGCUGCAGGGCUCCAGAGCCAAGGUUUUCUACAUUGGCUUCAUUACAUAUUUAAUAAGCAAACACAAGAAAAUCAGUUCUCUUCAACAAAUCCCUAUGCAAUGUCAGCUGAUAUCUACUAAGUACCACAAAUAAACUUAACUCCCUAGGCGAAAACCAGGAGGACCACCUUAAUGGCAGAUUUGAAUCAAGAAUUCAAACACGCAUGUCUUGGGGCUGGGGAUGUGGCUCAAGCGGUACCGUGCUCGCCUGGCAUGCUUGCGGCCCGGGUUCGAUCCUGAGCACCACAUACAAAACAAAGAAGUUGUGUCCGCCGAUAAACUAAAAAAUAAAUAUUAAAAUUCUCUCUCUCUCUCUCUCUCAAAAAAAAAAAAUUCAAACACGCGUGUCUUAAGCAGCACAGUACCAGAGCCAAAAGGUAGAAACAAUCCAAUGUCCACCAACAGAUGGGCAAACAAAAUAUACCCACGUUUUAUAUGUUUACUUAUAUAAAUGAAAUGUAUCCAUACAAUAAAAUAUUAUUCAUCUGUAAAAAGGAAGAAAGUACAUGGAUGAGUCUCAAAAACAUGCUAAGUGAAACAAGUCAGACAUGAAAGAUUACAUAUUUUGUGAUGCUGUUUAUAGGAAAUAUUCAGAAUAGCUAAAACUGUGUUACCAGAAGGUAUAUCACAUGUUGCUAGGGACUUUCCCAGAAGGAAUGGGGAGAGAAUGCUUACUGGGUAUGCAGCUUCCUUUGGGGUGAUAAAAACGUUUUAUAACUAGAUAGAAGUGAUGGUUGCACAACACUACAAAUUUACUAAAGUCACAGAUCUGUGUACUUUAAAACAGUUAAUUCUAUCUCAUGUGAAUUUCACCUCAAUAAGAAAAAGAGAGAUUAGAAUUGAUUGAUUGAUUCACACAUGCAUUAUUCUAAAAACAUUUCCCCCCUUUCCCUGUCUCUCUCUCUCUCUCUGUCUUUUUCUUUUUCUGCACUGAGGAUUGAACUUAGGGGAUUCUACCACUUCUUCCCCAGCUCUUUUAUUUUUUAUUUUUAUUUUGAGACAGGGUCUCACUAAGUUGCCCAGGUGGGCCUUGAACUUGCAAUCCUCCUCCUUUAUCAGAUUUGUGUCUUACAAAUACUUUCUCCCAGGCCGUGUUAGUCCUUUCAUCUUUUCUUUCUCUUAAUAAUGCCUUUCACGGAGCUGAAGAUUUUAAUUUUAGUGAAGUCCAGCUUAUUAGUUAUUUCUUUUGUGAAUUGUGCUUUUGGCAUUUUAUCUAAGAAACCAUUGUCAAAUGCAAGGUCAUCUAGGUUUUCUCCUAGAAGUUGUAGUCUUGUAUUUCACACUUAGGUCUACAAUCAAUUUUGAGUCAAUUUUUUUUUGUGAAACAUGUAAGACCCGUGUCUGGAUUCACUUUUUACACUUGUCCUAGCACCAUUUGUUGAAAAGACCAUCUUCUCUACUGAAUAACCUUUGUUUCUUUCUCGAAGGUCAUUUGGUUGUAUUUGUAUGGGUCUGUUUCUGUUUCUCUGUCAGUCAGUUACCCCACCUUCUGGAUCACUGAAGCUUUACCUUACAUCUUGACAGUAUACAAUGUUGGGGAAAUGUGGAGAAUUUUGACUGAAUUGUUUGUUUCAUUUUAAACAAUAUGUUAUUAUACUUAAAAAAAUAAAAUAAAAACUAAAAAAAGUCUAGUGGUUUUAUUAAACAUGAUGAAUGUAUUUAUUUUAAACACAAGUGGCAUAAUAUUAUAUUUAAUACUUUCUCUCUUUUUUUCCUCUUGUGAUAUGGGGGACCAAACCCAGAGUCUCAGGCAUGCUAAACAUGUGCUCUACCACUGAGCUACACCUUCAGCCUCUUCUCUUUCUUUUCAUUCAUGGGGUCAUGUUGAUACGUCUUUUACAAUUUUUCCAUAUUUAAACAAUGGUACAAAAACCAUCUUUUCUUUCUUAUUUGGUAAGGACUUCCUGCCUCAUAUCUAGGGUUCCCAAUCCCCUUUUUAGUCCUUCUUCCAAGAUAGGGUAUGAUUUCAACUAUUUUAUAUCUUUAGUCUCUUCCUCUCUCUUCAAUCCUUUAAUCUAAAAGCAAACUCUGCCUCCCUUGUUGAAUAAAUUCCCUCUCUUUUGGGCCCUGUCCUAGGGAAACAUUAAGACUAGUUUAUACUGUCUCCCUUCCUCUUUGCCCAUUUACUUCAACUUUCCUGCCAUCUGCAUUUCACCUUAACCAUUCUAACAAGUCUUCAGCGUUCAAGGGUGGCAUUCAUCUUGGUUGCCUCCUCCCUGUUUCUCCAAGGAUCCACUAAAGAAGUUCUAUCUAGGACUUCUUGCUAUCCUUCACUUCCUGAUCUUUAAAUGUGAAUAUUCCUGAGGAUCACUCUUUUUUUCCUCUAUUUAUAUUUUGUCUUUUGACAACUUUGUGGCUUUAAGUAGUAUUUCAAUACAAGUGACUCUAAGAUGGAUUUUUAUACUCUACAUUCCUUUCUUCAAGUCUUUUCAAUUUCUGGAAGAUUUUCCCACUUGAUUUUUCCCUCUGGUACCUCAAACUUAAUAUACACCCAACAUUUAAAAAGCCUUAUUCCAAAUCUCCUGUCCAUGUCUCCAAUUUCGGCUAACAGCACUACCAGAACAUCAUUUUCACCCUAGUCCCCCUUCUUCUAUCUUCCUGUAGCCAACUAGUUUCUAAUUGGGUGAGUUCUGUAUCUACUAUGGUUUUUGCUCCUUGUAAUGAGGACUUGUUUAAAUUAAAUAUACCAAACUAUUUUUCCCCUAUUUUAUUUCCUGGUAACCUGUAUUUCUCCAUCUCAAUUUCCUCAAGCCAAGAAUGGAAACUGAGAUGCUCCAACCCUUGGCUCGAGCAGAUGCCAGUGAAACCAAAAUGGAAACAUCUCUGGGCAGCACAGCCUGGCUAAGUCUACAUAUGUACAUCUCUCGCUUUUGUUCCUAUAAAUUGUAAUGUUUGUGUUUGACACACAGGCAUAUUAACUGCUUUCCCAGUUUGGGUCAAACUGCAAUUAAAUUCCUUUUUCCUGUUUAUUAUCAUUUCUCUUAUUUCUGACAUUGGUGGGCAAUCGAAUUCAGUCUGCCUGAACCCAGCAGGGUCUCUGGCUUGGGGCACUGGUAACUCUGUGGGUCAUCCAAUUUGUCUGAGACAACAAUGUUUGGAGGAAAAUCUUGAAGAAGCUGAAAAUGAAGAAACAAUUUCGACAGAUGAAGGUUUUAGAUAGUUGACUGAGCUGCAAUUCUAUUAUCUCUGCACUGGAGAAUCUUGAAUCUUGACCAAGCUGAGUUUAAGGAGAUCCUUCAGGUUGCAAAAAAGAUGGUGGUUGAGUGGCAGGUACAAACCCAAGGUGAAGGCUAUGGUCCUAGUUGAGUGGAGAGGUCAUAAAGGCAGAGAAACUGUAAAGGUGAGGCAGGUGGCUACUGGAACUCCAGGUCAGACACUCUGUUGGGUUUCAGAGGGCUGGAUUCAGUCACCUGCCUACAUCAGAAAUAAGAGAAAUAAUAUAAAAAGGAAAAAAAUGUAUUUAAUUACUGUCUGACUCGAACUGGGAAGGCAGCCAAAUCUGCCUCCAUUGAUCCUUCAGAAACAUUACAAUGUAAAUGAACAAAAGGCAGAAAAUAUACAUAAAUAGAUUUAUUCAGGCUUUGCUAGCCAGAGAGAUGUUACAAUUCAGCUUUCCCUGGUACCUGUCUGAGGGUGCUGGGGGAGCAGCUUCUCAGUGUCCAUUUUCAUCAUGAGGAAGCUGGGGUGGAAAAUGCAGGUUAUUAGGAAAUUAAAGGAAAAAAGUUGGGGAAUUUUAAUUCAAAGGAACACUGCUAUGGCAGCUUCUGAGUCUGGGUCUUUAGUUCUGGUCAUUGUAUCUUUCUGGACUCUAACCUGCCACCUUACCCAACAUCUCCAAAACAUAACUGUAGUGCAAGGUCUGUUUCUAAUACUGCCUUCUUCCAUUGUCCACGGUCCAAUAUCUCUUCAUUUGGAAUUUUUGCUUCCUCCCCUGAAUAGAAUAAAAUUUCAUAUGAAUCUCUUCCAUGUCUUCUUUCUAUUUUGUAUCUCAGGCUGUAAUUUAUUUAUAUUUUGUGAUAUGGGGAUUGAACCCAGAGUCUUGGACAUGCUAGACUAGCACUUACUGCUGAGCUACUCACAGCCCCUUCUGCAUGAUUUACUGAUGAGCAUGAUAUAGUUGAAUUCAGUUUUAUCUUUAUAGCUUUUUCAAGCACUGAAGCGGAUGCAGAGCCUGGCAUACAGUAAGCCCUCCAUAAAUGCACAUUCAAUGAAUUCAUGAUUGAUAAAGAAGAAAUGAUUGACUCUGGAAUGUUAAGUUUCAUAAAAUAUUAUGAUACAUUCAUGAUCUUGCUUUAGCAAGUAAUGUACUGGACAUAAUUUAGAUUAUUAUUCAUGUAGUUUUAUAUUAUAAAGUAUAAGUAGUUUGUGACAUGGAAUUGUGACAUACCCUAUGUCUCCCUUUCGUCUUUUUAUUGAGAUAUAGUUCACAUUCCAAAACAUUCACCUUUUUCAAGUACACAGUUCAGUGGUUUUUAUUAUAGUCAGAGAAUUAAGUAAUCAUUAAUUUCAGAGAAUUUCCUUCCACCUAAAGAGAAAACCCUCUACCAAUUAUCCAUCACUCUAUUUCUCUUCUUUCCCCACCCUCUGAUAACAAGUAAUUCAUUUUCUGUCUCUUUGGAUUGCCUGUUCUGGGUAUUUUACGUAAACAGAUCAUACAAAUCAUAGUCCUUUGUGCCUGACUUCUUUCACUUCUUUCAUAGUGUUCUGCUAUGCUGUGGAGUGUUAGCACUUCAUUCCAAUGAAGGCUGAAAUAUUCUGUUGCAUGGAUAUGCCACACUUAUUUAUUCAUCAAUCAAUGAAAGUUUGCAUUGCUUCACUGGUUGGCUGUUGUAAAUAUUGCUGCUGUGCAUGUUCAUGUACAAGGUUUGUGUGGACAUAUAUUUUCAUUUCUCUUGGGCAUCUACUUAGAAGUAGAAUUGCUAAGAAUUACAGAAACUUUAUGUUCAGUUUUUGAGAAUCUGCCAAACUGUUUUCCCAAGUCGGGGUACCAUUUUACAGUCCCACAAGCAAAGUACUAGGGUUCAAAUUUCUCAUACCCUUGCCAACACUUGCUAUUGUCCCCCUCCUCCUUAAAUUAUAAGCUUACCCUAUUGGACAUGAUGUGGUGUCUCACUGGUUCUGGUUUGCAUUUCCUUGAUAACUAUUCAUGUCAAACAGGCAUCUUUUCGGGUGCAUAUUGGCCAUUUGCUUAUCUUUUUUGGAAAAAUAGCUGUUCAAAUUCUUUCUCAUUUUUUAAAUUGGGUUUGUUUUUUUGUGGGUUUGGGUGUAGAUUUUGUUGUGGUGAUUGUUGAGUUGUUAAGUAUUCUUUUCUUUUAAUUCUGGAUAUUAGUCUCUUAUCAGAAUAAAGGUUUGCAAAUAUUUUCUCCCAUUCUUUGGAUUAUCAUCUCACUUUCUUAGUGAUGUCCUUUACAGAAGUUUAAAAUUGUGGUCAAGUUCAACUGCUUAUGCUUAUGUUCUUGGUGUCAUAUCUAAGAAGCCAUUACCCUAUCCAAGGUAAUGAGGUGUUAACAACAGUGUUUUCUUCUGUGAGUUUUAUGAUUUCAGUUCUUUGAUACAUUGUGACUUAAAAAUAUGUGGUGUGAGGUAAGGGUUCAACCUCAUUCUUUUGCAUAUAAAUACUCAUUUGUCUCAACUCCACUUAUUUUAUUAAUUUAUUUGUUCUAAUUUUUUAUAUAUGACAGCAGAAUGCAUUUCAAUUCAUAGUACAAGUAUAAAGCACAAUUUUUCAUGUCUCUGGUUGUACACAAAGUAGAGUCACACCAUUCAUGUCUUCAUACAUGUACUUAAGGUAAUGAUGUCCAUCUCAUUUCACCAUCUUUUCUAUUCCCCCAGCCCCCUCCCUUCCUCUACCUCACUGUUGCCCUAUCUAAAGUUCCUCCAUUCCUCCUAUGCUCCCCCCACUCUCCAUCCCCGUUAUGAAUCAGCAUAUCAGAGAAAACAUUUGGCAUUUGUUUUUUUGUGAUUGGCUUACUUUAAUUAGCAUAAUAUUUUCCAACUCCAUCCAUUUGCCUGCAAUAUUCCAUUGUGUAUAUAUACCACAAUUUCUUUACCUAUUCAUCUACUGAAAGGACAUCUAGGUUGGUUCCACAAUUUAGCUAUUGUAUAUUGUAUAUUGUGCUGCUAUAAACACUGAUGUGCCUGUGUCCCUGUAGUCUGCUGUUUUUUAGUUCUUUGGGUAUAAAUCAAGAAGUGGGAUAGCUGGGUCAAAUGGUGGUUCCAUUCCAAGUUUUCCAAGGAAUCUGCAUAAUACUUUCCAGAUUGGUUGCACCAAUUUGCAGUCUCACCAGUAAUGUAUGAGUGUGCCUUUCUCCCCACAUCUUCACCAACACUUAUUGUUGUUUGUAUUCUUAAUAGCUGCCAUUCUGACUGGAGUGAGAUGAAAUCUUAGUUUUGAUUUGCAUUUCUCUAAUUGCUAGAGAUAUUGAACAUUAUUUCAUAUAUUUGUUAAGUGAUUGUAUAUCAUCUUCUGAGAAGUGUCUGUUCAUUUCCUUGGCUCAUUUAUUGAUUGGGUUAUUUGGUUUUUUGGUGUUAAGUAUUUUGAGUUCUUUAUAUAUCCUAGAGAUUAGUGCUCUAUCUGAUGUGCAUGUGGUAAAAAUUUGUUCCCAUUCUGUAGGCUAUCUAUGCACAUCACUGAUUGUUUCUUUUGCUGAGAAGGAGCUUUUUAGUUUGAAUCUUUCCCAUUUAUUGAUUGUCAAUUUUAUUUCUUGUGCUAUAGGAGUCUUAUUACGAAAUUCGGGGCCUAAUCUGAUAUGAUGAAGAUUUGGGCCUAUUUUUUCUUCUAUUAGGUGCAGGGUCUCUGGUUUAAUUCCUAGGUCCUUGAUCCACUUUGAGUUGAGUUUUGUGCAUGGUGAGAUAUAAGGGCUUAAUUUCAUUUUGUUGCAUAUGGAUUUCCAGUUUUCCUAGCACCAUUUGUUGAAGAGUCUAUCCUUUCUCUAAUAUAUGUUUUUGGCACCUUUGUUUAAUAUGAGAUAACUGUAUUUAUGUGGGUCGUCUCUGUGUCCUCUAUACUGUACCAUUGAUCUACAUGUCUAUUUUGGUGCCAGUAUUAUGCUGUUUUGUUACUAUUGCUUUGCAGUACAGCUUAAGGUCUGGUAUAGUGAUGCCACCUGCUUUGCUGUUCUUGCUAAGGAUUGCUUUGGCUAUUCUGGGUCUCUUGUUUUUCCAGAUUAAUUUAAUGACUGCUUUUGCUAUUUCUAUAAGGAAUGUCAUUGGUAUUUUGAUUGGAAUUGCAUUAAAUAAUGUAUAGUGUUUUUGGUAGUAUGGUCAUUUUGACAGCAUUAAUUCUGCCUAUCCAAGAACAAGAGAGAUAUCUCCAUCUUCUAAGGUCUUCUACAAUUUCUUUCUUUAGCAUUCUGUAAUUUUCAUUGUAGUGGUCUUUGCCUCUUUUGUUGAUUCCUAAGUAAUUUUUUUUGAGGCUAUUGUAAAUGGGGUAGUUUUCCUGGUUUCUCUUUCAGAGGAUUUCUCACUGAUGUACAGAAAUGCCUUUGAUUUAUGGGUGUUGAUUUUAUAUCCUGCUACUUUGCUGAAUUCAUGUAUUAGUUCUAGAAGUUUUCAUGGAAGUUUUUGAAUCUUCUAAGUGUAGAAUCAUAUCAUCAGCAAAUAGUGAUAAUUUGAGUUUUUCUUUUCCUAUGUGUAUCCCUUUAAUUUCUUUUGUCGGUCUUAUUGCUCUGGCUAGAAUUUCAAGAACUAUGCUAAAUAGAAUUGGUGAAAGAGGGUAUCCCUGUCUUGUUCCAGAUUUUAGAGGGAAUGCUUUCAAUUUUUCUCCAAUUAGAAUGAUGUUGGCCUGGGACUUAGCAUAGAUAGCUUUUAUAAUGUUGAGAUAUGUUCCUAUUAUCCCUAGUUUUUCUAGUGUUUUGAACAUGAAGGGUUGCUAUAUUUUGUUGAAUGCUUUUUCUGCAUCUAUUGAGAUGAUCAUAUGAUUCUUAUCUUUAAGUCUAUUGAUGUAAUAAAUUACAUUUAUUGAUUUUUGUAUUUUGAACCAACCUUGCAUCCCUGGGAUGAACCCCACUUGAUUAUGGUGUACUAUCUUUUUGAUAUGUUUUUGUAUUCAAUUUGCCAGAAUUUUUAUUGAGAAUUUUUGCAUCUAUGUUCAUUACAGAUAUUGGUCUGAAGUUUUCUUUCUUUGAUGUGUCUUUUCCUGGUUUUGGAAUCAGAGUGAUAUUUGCCUCAUAGAAUGAAUUUGGAAGUGUUCCCUCUUUUUCUAUUUCAUGAAAUAAUUUGAGGAGUAUUGGUAUUAGUUCUUCUUUGAAGGUCUUGUAGAACUCACCUGUAUUUCCAUCCAGUCCUGUGCUUUUCUUGGUUUGUAGUCUUCUAAAUUCUUGGAUUGCAUCUUCUAUUUCAUUGCUUGAAAUUGAUCUGUUUAACUUGUGUAUAUCAUCCUGAUUCAGUUUGGGAAAAUCAUAUGACUCUAAAAUUUGUCAAUGCCUUUGAUAUUUUCUAUUUUAUUGGAGUACAAAUUUUCAAAAUAAUUUCUAAUUAUCUUCUGUAUUUCUGUAGUGUCCAUCAUGAUAUUUCUUUUUUUCACCAUGGGUGUUAGUAAUUUGAAUUUUCUCUCACCUACUCUUCAUUAGCAUGGCUAAGGGUUUAUCAAUUUUAUUUAUUUUUUUCAAAGACCAACUUUUUGUUUUGUCAAUUUUUUCAAUUGUUUCUUUUGUUUCAAUUUCAGUGAUUUCAGCUCUGAUUUUAAUUAUUCCCUGUCUUCUACUGCUUUUGGUGUUGAUUUGUUCUUUUUCUAGGGCUUUGAGAUAUAAUGUUAGGUCAUUUAUUUGUUGACUUUUUCUUCUUUUAAGGGAUGAACUCCAUGCAAUGAACUUUCCUCUUGGUACUGCUUUCAUAGUGUCCUAGAGAUUUCAAUAUAUUGUAUCAAUAUUCUCAUUUACCUCUAAGAAUUUUUUAAAUGAAAUUAUCUAUUUAUUCUAAUUUGUUUUACAUGAUGGCAAAAUGCAAUUCAUUUCAUAUUACACAUACAAAGCACAAACCUCUAAGAAUUUUUAAAUCUCCUCUUUGCUGUCUUUUGCAACCCAGUGUUCAUUCAGUAGCAUAUUAUUUAGUCUCCAGGUGUUGGAGUAGCUUCUAUUUUUUAUUUUAUCAUUGAUUUCUAAUUUCAUUCCAUUAUGAUCUGAUAGAAUGCAGGGUAGUAUCUCUACUGUUUGUAUUUGCUAAGAGUUGCUUUGUGGCAUAAUAUAUGGUCUGUUUUGGAAAAGAAUCCAUGUGCUGCUGAGAAGAAAGUUUAUUCACUCAUUGAGAGAUGAAAUAUUCUAUAUAUGUCUGUUAAGUCUAAGUUAUUAAUUGUAGUAUUGAGUUCUAUCAUUUCUUUCUUUAGCUUUGUUUGGAAAAUCUAUCCAGUGGUGAAAGAGGUGUGUUAAAGUCACCCAGAAUUAUUGUGUUGUGCUAUUUGACUCUUGAACUUGAGAAGAGUUUGUUUGAUGAAUGUAAUGCUCCAUUGUUUGGGGAUAUAUAUUUAUAAUUGUUAUAUCUUGUUGAUGUGUGGUUCUCUUAAGCAGUAUGAAAUGUCCUUCUUUAUCCCUUUUGAUUAACUUUGGCUUAAAGUCUACUUUAUUUGAUAAGAGGUUGAAAUCCCUGCUUGUUUCUGCAGUACAUGUGAGUGGUAUAUUUUUUCCCAACCUUUCACCUUCAGUCUGUGGAUGUCUUUUCCUAUGAGAUGAGUCUUUUGAAGGCAACAUAUUUUUGGCUCUUUUUUUUCCAAUCCAAUCUGCCAGUCUAUGUCUUUUGAUUGGUGAGUUUAGGCCAUUAACAUUCAGGGUUAUUAUUGAGAUAUGAUUUAUCAUAUUUGUUUAUUUUUGGUAUUUAACUUGACUUGUUUUCUCCUUUGAUUAGUAUUUCCUUUAGUGUAAUAUCUCCCUUUGCUGACUUUCAUUGUUGUUUUUCAUUUCCUCCUCAUGGAAUAUUUUGCUGAGGAUGUUUUGUAGUGUAGGCUUUCUAGUUGUAAAUUCUUUUUAACUUUUGUUUACCAUGGAAGGUUUUUAUUUCAUCAUCAAACUAAAGCUUAGUUUUGCUGGAUAUAAGAUUCUUGGUUGGCAUCCAUUUUCUUUCAGAGCUUGGUAUAUGUUGUUCCAGGAUCUUCUAGCUUUUAGGGUCUGGGUUGAAAAAUCUGUAGAGAUCCUAAUUGGUUUCCUCCUAUAUGUAAUCCGAUUCCUUUCUCUUGUGGCUUUUAAAUUCUCUCCUUAUUCUGUAUGCUAGGCAUUUUCAUUAUAAUGUGUGUUGGUGUAGCUCUGUUGUGAUUUUGUAAAUUUGGUGUCCUGUAAGACUCUUAUAUUUGAUUUUCCAAUUCAUUCUUCAUGUUUGGAAAAAUUUCUGAUAUUAUUUUAUUGAAUAGAUUAUUCAUUACUUUGGUUUGGAAUUCUAUGCCUUCUUCUAUUCCAGUAAUUCUUAUAUUUGGUCUUUUUAUGUUAUCCCAUAAUACUUGAAUGUUCUGCUCAUGUUUUCUCACCAUCUUCACUGUGUGGUGAACAUUCUUUUCAAGAUUAUAUUUUUUCUUCAUUGUCUGAGGUCCUGUCUUCCAAGUGAUCUAAUCUGUUGUUGAUACUUUUAAUUUGGUUUAUUUUUUCAUUUCAAGGAUUUCUUUUUUUUUUCAGAACCUCUAUCUCCUUAUUGAAGUAACCUUUUGUUUCCUGUAUUUGCUUAUGUAGUUCUUUAUCAAAAUUAUUUUUGCUGCCUGUAUUUUCUCUCUUAUAUCAUCCUUUAAUUCACAGAACAUUUUAAUUAUGUACAUCCUGAACUCCUUCUUUGUCAUUAAACUUCUGUUGUGCUGGCCAUGGAUUCUAAUAAUGUAAUAUCUUGGUUUGUUUGGGGGAACUUUCUUCCCUUGUUUUUUCAUGUUGUUCAUGUGUCUUCCCUUCUAGAACUGCAGAUCUGUGCUAUAAGGUUUUUACCCUAUAGGCUUAUAGUGUCUCUGCAGGUUUCCAAUACCUCUCCUUUAAGGAGGAGAUCAAUGUGAACAGAUUCCAGUACAAACAAUAUACAAUCUUAAACCAAAUAUCUGCUAUUAAGACAUUUAUGGUUUUGUCAGAAUAUUCAGAAAUUAUUAUCUACAAUAUUUGCUCAAUUAUUAUCUACAAUAUAAACAGUAGGUUUGCAAAAGAGUGUACAGUUUCUGAUGAUGGACAAAGAACUGGGGGUGAGGUGUAGGAUGAGAUAUUGAAGGGAGUAGGAGGUAAGGAUAUAGAGUUAUCAGAACUUAGAAAGUGUGAAAGAGGAAACUAAAGUUGCUUAGUAGCAGGAGAAGAGAGAGAAAGUAAUUUGGGGGAGACAGUAAGUGGAAAGACAGUAGAGUACAAAAAAAAACCAAACAUAAAUAUUAAGGAAAGUAAAAAUGUAAAAACGGGAGAUAAAAGAA